rnacentral:lncRNA from 1 species
AUGUCUCCACACCCGUGUGCUGUCCGUCCACCUCCCGGGACGUGCUUGGCUCUGCUCUGCGGGGCUGUCGGUUCCAGCGCGGCCGCCCUUCGGGGACUCGCAGGAGCACUGCAGCAAAUCAUCCUACAUGCAAGGCUGACCUCCGGGAGGCUAACAAAUUGGGGUGAGCCAGCUGGAGCGAGAGGACACCGCCGGCACACUCGGAGCAUGCUCAGACCUGGGGGAGAAAGCAGGGGAAGAAGAGGAGUGGGGAGUGCUCGUUCCCGUGCAAAACGUAGCUUUAAGGUGUCUUCUUUUGUCCUUUUCUCCUGUGAAAGAGGGGCAGCAGCGGAUAGCCUUUCCUUUUAUUUAGCAACACCAGGUCUUUGCCUCCACCAUGCCAAGGAGUGCUGAUGAUGUGCUCCCUCCCCGUCGCCUUCCCCGCCUGUCGUCC